GAUGAACGCUGGCGGCGUGCCUAACACAUGCAAGUCGAACGGGGUAUACGCGGAGAUGAUCGAAGUGCUUGCAUAGAGAGAGUCAAGUGUAUACUUAGUGGCGGACGGGUGAGUAACGUGUGGAUAACCUGGUCCAUCCAGGGGGAUAGCAGCUGGAAACGGCUGGUAAUACCGCAUAAGCGCACAGUAAGGCAUCUUACAGUGUGAAAAGAAUUAUCGGGAUGGAAUGGAUCCGCAUCUGAUUAGCCAGUUGGCGGGGUAGAAGCCCACCAAAGCGACGAUCAGUAGCCGGCCUGAGAGGGCGGACGGCCACAUUGGGACUGAGACACGGCCCAGACUCC
rnacentral:rRNA from 1 species